GACAGAGGGGGCAAGCGUUGCUCGGAAUUACUGGGCGUAAAGGGCGCGUAGGCGGAAUGGCAAGUCGGUCGUGAAAUCCUUCGGCUCAACCGAAGAACGUCGGUCGAAACUGCCGUUCUUGAGGAUUGCAGAGGAGACUGGAAUUCCCGGUGUAGCAGUGAAAUGCGUAGAGAUGCGGAGGAACACCGAUGGCGAAGGCAGCCCCCUGGGCUGACACUGACGCUCAGGCACGAAAGCGUGGGGAGCAAACAGG
rnacentral:rRNA from 1 species